rnacentral:lncRNA from 1 species
CUUGUGACUAGAAACGGUCCCCAAAACAAGAAUCAGACAAACCAGAGAAGCCCAGAUGAUAGUCCUUGAGAUGAAGGAACUAAGCAGCUGGUUGAGAUGGCACCAAGGGGAAAGGUUGCUCUUUUUGUCUGCCACUCUACUCCUUUCUUCCUGGACGCCUUAGGGGUUCGUCAUGGAGAUUUGAAAUAAAGUGCACAAAAGUCAUAUGUGUUGAAUCAAGAUUUUGCAUUUAACCAUCUCUCAAAAAGGAAGAGAGCUUCACCUGCACAUGUUUCUUUCAAAAACGUCAACUGCUUUUCAAUUCUGGGGUUUCUCUCUUGCCUUGUUCAAGUAGCCUUAAGAGUAAAAAUCAACGAAAACUACAUAAAGAUUCAAAGAUACCAACAAAGGACAGCUUCUGUUUCUGAAAUCAUCUUUCCAUUUAGUAGAACACGAGCUCUAUUCUUUGUAUUUUGCCUAGGGAAUUAGCAAUGUCCUGGUUCAGAUGGCAAGGCAUCCGCCCGCAGGAGACUGGGGUUUGAUCCCUGGGUCGGGAAGAUCCCCCCGGAGAAGGAAAUGGCAACCCACUCCAGUAUCCUCGCCUGGGAAAUGCCACGGACAGAGGAGCCUGAUGGGCCGCAGUCCAUGGGUCGUAUCAAAGUUGGGCUCAACCCAGCAACUACGAACAGAAGUAUUUCCAAAGACCACACUCAAGUGUGUGUGUGUGUGUGUGUGUGUGUGUGUGUGUGUGUGUAUCUCCUCUCGCCGUCUUGGAGUCUGUCUCGGAAUCUUCAUGUAUUUCUGCCUCUGCCUCUGUAUCUCCUGACAGCCGGCCGCCGGCCCGUUCGUCUGGCCCCGGCCUCUGCCAGGUGCUCUGGCUCUGGCUGAGGAGCUUGCGCAGGCCAGCUGUCUCCCUUGGCAUGGGUGCGUGCGAGUGUCUGUGUGUCUGUCUGUGUGCCUGCCUGUGGCUCAUCUGCUCUCUCAGGAAGGUCGAGUGCUUGGCGGGCGGCGUGGGGGCAAAGGGGGGCCUCGGUAGUGCGAAGGGGCGGGGCUGACGCGCUCCAGUGGACUGCGCCUCCAUGGCUCCAGGUGUGUUUCAGCACCAGGCAGGUGCCCGGCAAGAUGGGCGCUCAAGAUUCAUUGUGCCUAGUCCCGAAGGAGGUUUAGAGUCCAGCGGGCCGCGGGAGUCAGGUCACGGCAGGUCCCGAAGAUCGA